UUACUACUACUACUUUGCCCAGCAUGUUGUCGCUUCUGAAAAAGUUAAACUUGAAGCGUCAUUUGUGUAUGUCAUUGUUCAGACCUGAGACAGUGCUCCCCAAAUUUUGCAGUGUAUGUCGGUACUAGAUAUCAGGCAAGAUGUCCAUAGAUUUCAAAGGUUCCGAGAAAAAGCUGUCAAGAGCCGUCCUUGACCUAAAGUUUAUGAAAAAGAGCAAAGAGAAACGUGAGAUACUUGACGAUGCAGAGGAACGUCAGCAACUUUACAAAGGGCAGCUCAGCAUGCUACACGAAGGAGCGGACAGAAUUGUUAUGCUGAGCUCAUAUGUUGACUGCAUGAAAUUCUUGCCAUGUCGUCUUUCGUUUGGCGGAAUGGAUCCCGAGGUAGAAAAAUUGAAUCAAGACAAAUUAAUUGGCUUAUACAAAGAUGUUAG